ACCCAGCGGCGGCGGCGGACAACCGGCAGCGGCGGCGCUCUCUUCCUCCCCCCGGUGACCCAGCGCCGGCGGCAAUACUUUUGGGUGAGUUCUACUUUUAGGGUUAGCCCCUUUUCUUUUGCUUUCUUUUUCCUCUUUUCUUUUUCUUUCUCUUUCACUCCCAACGGAUCUACAAGCCUAGAAGGCUCCGAUACCAUUGUUGUAUCCUAGAAUUCGUCUAGGUGUAGAUCUAGCCGAGGUUUACAACUUUCUAUGAUACAACUUGGUUCGGGUAUGGGGCGAGAGAGAGAGAGAGAGAAAGACAAGGG
rnacentral:lncRNA from 1 species